AGUCUUAGAAAGAGACAGAGAAAGAAAGAAGAAGAAGGGGGCAGAGUGAAUAGCUGGCUCGUUCGGAAAUGGGCCUACAGCCACUUCCCACUUUGGAAGCCUCAGCAGUCAUUCUCUCGCUCGCUCUCUUUGCGUUCUCCCUGCCCACUCUGGCUCGGCUGCCAAGUCAGAGUUGGCACAGCUUCCCAGGCAGCGCGGAACAAAGCCCUCUCCCAUCCCUGAACAGGCACUGACAGUAAGCAAAGUGACAGGCACAUCUUCUGCAUGUUAAUCCAAACGGAGAGGAGAAACUGGCGUGAGAAUUCAAUCCCUCAAUAUCUCUCUCUAUAGAGAUAUAUAGUCAUGAAAAACAAAAAAAGCCUCUAUCCAGCCUGCUGGAAAGGAUCCUUAAAACAGAAAAAAUACAGCUAGCUGCAAUAAGGAUUGGAGAAGGGAGGGAGGGAGAGGGGGGGGAGAGAAGGAUUUACCCACCAGCACCUUGGCAAAGAAGGCUGCUUUGCAUCUGUUGUACCUGUUCCUGUUGCCUUCCUUGCCUUUUGGAUUUGUGACAAGAGAGAAAAGUCGCCUCUGGUGGGUUGCUCAAAGCUGCGGGUCUGCAGCCCUGUGCAGGAAGUUGGCACCGAUCCCAGGUAGGACUUUACUCCCACAUUUCUACCCUCCACCUCCUUCCUCUCCUUCCCCUCCCCUUCUUCUUCUUUCUCUCCACCCACCCACCAUCUCCCUUGGUAAAUCCCCCCCUGCUCUCCCUCAAAGCCUGUUCUUAACUUACCUCUUUUUCCACUGCACCACUCUGUGCGUGUCUCUCUGUGUGUGUGUGUGCGUGUGCGUGGGUACAUUAUGGAUCGAUCAGAUGCACUCAGCACCCUCCAGCAUCCAAGCUAAGAAACACAAACACCCUUUAAGGGUGACCUGGGCAGCAAAGACGGCAACAGCUUCCUGCCUGCACUGGCUCCCCUAAAUGCCUGUUUCAACACAUGGAGUUGGGCAGUGGUUGGGUUAAUUCUCUCCCCCCCCCCCGUGCUGCCAAGGAGACUGGACAGAACGCAAGGGAGGGAGAGAAAAAAAAUACUCCGAACUCUGUACAGGGCAAUGAAAGGAAAAUGUUGAGCUUCGUGAAACUCCUAAAUCCAAUCCCCCCUUCCCCCCCUCUUUUAAUACUGCCUGGGCUUCUGAAUUGUUUGAGCCCACAAUUGAGAGGGAAUGUACAGUAUAGACUCCCUGCGACUGGCAAGAGUCUUGCAAGGGGGGGGGGGAGAGGAGGAGAGUUCUUACAAUCAAACAGCGAGAAGAGCAAAGAGAAAUUAACAUCCAAUUAGUGCCGUGUUUAACGAAGGAGACAGAGGCAGCCGUUGUUUUAUUGCCCUGUUCUUUUCUUUCGGCUCUGACAGGCAGCGCGAAAGGCACCCCCAGAUCGCGGUGACGUCAUUUCCCACCCCCCCUUUUCUCCUCGUCCAAGUUUCUCAGAGGUUGGCCAUCACGUUUGCUGGAAAAGUUAAUUAUAUUUAUGGCUGAGCUUCAAACAAAAAAACAAAACGAAAAAAAGCACGCUCUUCUUUCUCUUCGGCAAGGAACCCAAAAAAAUUAAAAUAAAAUGGAAGAUAUCAGCCCUCUUUCUCUCUUUCUGUAUCUCUCUUUCUCUCUGCUUGCCUGUGUGCCUUUGCUUGUUUUCCUGCUCACUCAGCUUGUAAAAGUUUGAGCUGUGUGACACUCUACUCGGCCUCCUUUGGCAGCGUGACAAGAACUGCUUUGGUGUAUCAAAGAGAACAGGCAGCUUUUAAGGAAGAAACUCAAUUCAGAGAGAUUAAAGAAUUAUAAUGUUUUAAUCAAGGGAGAGCAAGAGGAUGAGUGGGAGGCUUUUCCUUACAUCUGGAUCAACAUAAGUGGCCCUCUAAAGGCUUGCAGCAGCAAUUUGGAAUUGGGGAGGGCGGUGGGGGGGGGAGAGGGAAAGAGAUGAACUUAGAAGCAGGAAUCCAGCAUUUAUAGUCUCCCUCUUUUCCUCCCCCCUUUUCUUUCUCCCCACACACACCACAUGAACUCUGUGGGCCGCUGCCUGAAGGAGACGAAGAGACGCCAUGAUGGCAAGGCCUUUGUAUACUGCCGCGGGAUCCUACAGCACGCUCAGAAAAGACUCUUGUGCUUUUGUAGUUGUGGAGAAAGAUUAUUUCCUACCACACAGAAGACCCCUUGCCCAACAUGGCCACCUUUCCACAGCACCCAACUGGGAGGAAUCCAGCUGCUUCCUUUUUACCUCAGUAUUAUAGUGACGUAUUCCCUCCUACCAGGAAGGACUCUCCGAUCAAUAAUGGGAGACGGCAUUCUCAAGCAAGGUGCUUUUAACCUCGCAACAACGCCACGAGCUUUCCUUCCUCUCUCUUCCCCCUCCGCCCCCUUAGUUUUCGCCUCUUGAAUCCUAUCCAAACUGUUUGGAACUGGAUUUUUCCAGCUGCUGGAAGGAAAGCAGCUGAGCUUAAGAGCAACCUCCUUGGGUUCUGACUGAAGUCGUUUUAUUCCAGUGAUGUCCCUUCUUGUGCUCGAGUAACGGCUGCCAUUUCAGGCUGCAAGUCUAGGCUCAAGUGGAGGCCUCUGAAGGUAGGAGUAUAUAUCCGGGGAUAAAACGAAUCUAGUUGAAACAUACAUUGAAAAUGAGAUUUGUUCAAAACCGUAAAGCCAACUUGAGUAUGUUGGCAAGAAUGCAGUAUAUAAAUAAACAGGCUGGUCUUUAUUAACAAAGGAAAUAGAACGCUUUUAGAACACAAGAGUAGCUCUGCUGGAUCAAACCAAAGGCUUCUCUAGUCCAGUAUUCUGUUCCCACAGAGGCCAAUCAGAUGCCUACUGAUGGGACACAAGCACAGUAACAUUUCUCAUGUUCUUUUAUAAGAUUUGCCCCAUCUAUUUCAUUAGGUCAAUGAAUGACUAGAUCAGUCUGUUUCUGGCCCAUGCCUCAUUCUGAUGUGUUUAUUCAGAAGACUGUCCUGUCCCGUUUCGACAUCAGUCUAUUAUAUUUCUACCUAGCUAUCUAUUUAUAGUUUUCUAUUUAAUUUUCUCAAAAAAUGCAUUAAAAUAGGUAUAUAAAAGAAUAUGCAUUUUGAACAUAUUGUCUCAUGAAACGCACCUUUUGGAAUGCAUUUCCUCUCAAACCACACAUUUCAAAGCAUAUUUCACUGAAUAUGCAGUUUGAAAAUGCAUCUUGAGCCUAGGAAUCGCAUCAGAAAUUUUGGAAAAGUGCAAAAUCCAAAGACAUAUGGGUUCCAGUUCUCACAUUAGUGUAGGAGGUACAGUUUGGGACUGUUCAUCAUCUGAAUUCGCAGAGAACGAAUUUUCCAGUGCAAAAGUGAGCCCUGCAAAUGCUGCCCGAACACUGUUUCAAUUCCUUACUGCAGAUUUCAUUAUGCUGAAAUUCCAACAAACCUCAGUCUUGCAAGGCACCAUAUGAUAUUGGAACUGAACAGUAGGGGAACCAAGAUGGUCAUUAAUUUUUUGCCUGAAGAUUCGUUCAUUUACGUAACUUGAGUCUUGGCUUGCAGCAAGUUCAUGAGGUACACAGAGAUGGAGCAUCCAUUUAAAUGUAUCUGUUUAAUAAAUUUGUAUAUAGCUUUUCAAGAAAGAAAACAUGUCCCUAGAGCAUUGUCAAGCCAAACAACAGAUGUAUAAUAAAAUACAAUUUAAGAGCAU